rnacentral:lncRNA from 1 species
UGCCAUGCUAAAAUACACCGGAAUUACCAGGCCUACCAUUCAGAAGUUUCCAUUCUAAAAAUAGACUGGAAUUACCAAGUCUAUUAUUCUGAAACUACCGGUGAGACAUUCAUCCCAUAUAGAUUUAGAGUUGCUAUGCUAAACAGACUAGAAUUAUCAGGCCUAUUAUUCUGAAGUUGCCAUGCUAAACAGACUAGAAGUACCAGCCUACUAUUUAAAAAUGCCAGUGAGACACAGUCACUCCUUAUAGAUUUGAAGUUGCCAUGCUAAAUAGACUGAAAUCGCCAGGCCCACUAUUCUGAAUUUUCCAUGCUAAAUAGACAGGAAAUACCAGACCUACUAUUCUGAAACUACAAGUGAAAUAUUCAUCCUUUCUAGAUGUGAAGUUGUCAUGUUGACUAGUCAUAAAUUAUCACACUUACUAUUCUGAAGUUAUCAUGCUAAAUAGACUUUAAUUAUCAGGCCUACUAAUCUGAAACUACCAAUGAGACAUACACCCCUUCUAGAUUUUAAGUUGACAUGCUAAAUAGACUGAAAUCACCAUGCCUGUUAUUCUGAAGUUGGCAUACUAAAUAGAUUGGAAUUACCGUGCCUACUAUUCUGAAGUUGUCAUACUAAAUAGACUGAAAUUAUCAGGCCAACUCUUCUAAAACUACCAAUGAGACAUUUACCCCUUCCAGAUUUGAAGUUGACAUACUGAGUAGACUGAAAUUACCGGGCCUACUAUUCUGAAGCUACCAUCGUUACAAAACAUGUCAUUCAUGUAGAAAUACACUACACAUGGAAAAGGUUUACGCAACUUACAGUUUUCCUCGGAGAUAGGCAUCACAUUACAAAUAGCGGUACUAAUCACAAACAAUAUGUCAUAGAAUCUUCAGAAAUUAUCAGUUCCUGUGGUAAAAAAAAACACAAAAACAAUUAAUAUUGACUCAAGUAACCAUGCUAAUAUACAAAAAAGUUGAUGUGAAAUCUAAGCAAAAUUG